rnacentral:rRNA from 1 species
UACAGAGGGGGCAAGCGUUGUUCGGAAUUACUGGGCGUAAAGGGCGCGUAGGCGGCCUUCUAAGUCGAACGUGAAAUCCCCGGGCUCAACCCGGGAACUGCGUCCGAUACUGGAAGGCUUGAAUCCGGGAGAGGGAUGCGGAAUUCCAGGUGUAGAGGUGAAAUUCGUAGAUAUUCGCAAGAACACCAGUGGCGAAGGCGGCUCACUGGCCCGGUACUGACGCUGAGGCGCGAAAGCGUGGGGAGCAAACAGG